ensembl:snRNA U6 U6 spliceosomal RNA
GUGCUCCCUUCAGCAACACAUAUACUAAAAUUGGAACAAUGCAUAGAAGAUUAGUUUGGCCCCUAUGCAAGGAUGACACACAAAUUCGUGAAGCAUUCCAUAUUUGU